UUUAUUGCUUUAAUUUAAAGCCUAUUUCAAAACUUUUUGCUUAAAAACAUUUCAAUUCUUGUUUGUUUUUUCUUAAAAAAAAAAACUUUUGAGAUACUCUCAACUCACGCCUCUUCUUCUCCCCUUUUUAGCCGGCACCGAUCCCGUCAAAGAUCUGUCGCGCCAUGGCCACUGAUGAAGGCCCGAUUCUGGCGACAGGCUCACGAUAAUAGGUCGUGAAGACAUGGGGGCGGAGAACACCGAUGUGGGGUGAGCAAUGCGCGAGUCGGGGGUCUUGCGUGGUGCAUGGAGGCUGUUGGUGGCCAUUGCUAAGGCGCGAAAUAGAUGGAAACCCUAGAGUUUUCGAAUUUGGGCCUAGUGUUGUUGGGCCAUUUGUAACUUGGCUUGUAUUUUGGGCUGUUUUAUGUAAUUGGGUAUUUGGGCUUAUUUGUAAAUGGACUCAUUUGAUGAUCUGUUUUAAUUUUGGUUUUUUGUAUGUGUAAUCCGGGCCAAAAUUGGGUCUUA